rnacentral:rRNA from 1 species
UACGAAGGGUGCAAGCGUUGUCCGGAUUCAUUGGGCGUAAAGAGCGUGUAGGCGGCCAGGUAGGUCGGUUGUGAAAACUGGAGGCUCAACCUUCAGAGGUCGACCGAAACCAUCUGGCUAGAGUCCGGGAGAGGAGAGUGGAAUUCCUGGUGUAGCGGUGAAAUGCGCAGAUAUCAGGAAGAACACCCGUGGCGAAAGCGGCUCUCUGGAACGGUACUGACGCUGAGACGCGAAAGCGUGGGGAGCGAACAGG